CUUAAUUAUUAACUUAAUUACAAUUGUUAACAUUAAUAAUUUAUUUAUUUACUAUUUAUUAUCGUAAACUACUCCUUUUUGAGAAGAAUGUGCUUAUUUUUUGUACUGACCCUUUCAAAUUUAAUUUAAAUAGGUACUUUAUAUUUAUAUAGUUUCGGAUUUAACUUGCAAGUAAAAAAAGGAAAUUGUUUUUAAGAUUACUCUUCCUUUCGGGCAUUUCUGUCGGCACACAUAAUAUAAACGUUGCGUUCUACUGUGAUAUUCAACUGUACAUAUUGUACGUCUCUUAUAUAAGUGUCUCAUUAACAUGCAAAUUCAAUUUAUUAGCUUAUGAUUAGCACACUAAACGAUCAAUAAUAAAUAAUAGUUACAAUAUCGUAAUUUAUUGUAAAUUUUCUAAAAUCGAAUCACUUAAUAAGACCACAUUAAAAAAUAAUGACAAUAUUAUGUAAUCAUUAAUACUUAAAUAGUCUUUUAAAGAUCGGUCUUUGCCAGCCCGAAGUAUUAAUUUUCUAUAGUACGUUUGUGUAGCUUCAUUCCCGAUACGAAAAGUACAGUACAUUCGAUAUUUUGUGGUGAAGGUUUUCUUUAGAUUUGAAUACUUAGUUACUGUUUAUUUGUUUAAUAAUUUCUAAUGCUUCACUACGAAUUCCAUUCGAUGAUUAUACCAAUAACGUCCAUGUGAACAGUGCUACGAUGACUUUUUUUAUGUAUUCAUCUGAAUUUACCUCUAUUUUUUUAUAUUAUUGACAAAAUAUUCGCAUGUACCGUGCGGCUAGUCGUCCUGCACUCUUUUUUACGAACAUAGAAUACCAGACUAUGCAGUAUCUGGGUACUAAACAAACAUUAUUCUUUAAUUGCUCUUAAGUAUGUAUAGUUUUACAUCAUUACAGAAAUUCCUUGAUUUGGUUUGAAGUACACAAAAUUUUUAUUCUGAUUCUAAAAUUAAGUUAUGGUAAUCUUAAUUCACCACACAAUACGAAAUGUUUAUUUUUCGUUUCCUUCACUAUGUAUUUUAUUUACAAAAACUCUGUCGUAAUCUUGCAAGUAUUACUAUGUCUAUUAUAAAACAACAAUAGUGUAUCAAAAUUCACAUAAAAUGGACCUGUUUAAAUUUACUCCUUUACUUUCUUAUAAUAUAGGUAAUGAUUGAUAGAUCAAAAGCUAAUCGUAUACAAAACAGUAUUAAUAUAAGCAUUUGUUUUCAGAAAAUUAAUAGUUUGAGGUAAUUUUGAUACAUGCUGUGCAUUUAUAGUACCUAUGUACUCAUUGAUCUUUUAGCAUAUCCCAAAAUACUUUUCACAAAAUCGACGUUUAUUUUCCAAAUUAAAUAUUACUUUCAUUUACUUGAUGCAGUUGUACACUUCUAUAUUGUUAAAUGUUAUUGUUAUAAUUUUAUUGAUUUCAUAUAGGUACUUAAUAUAAUUACAUAAAACAAAUAUACCUGCAACACUAACAAUUUGCUUAACCAAAAAAAAAAUCAUUUAUCACAUAAGCAAAAUAAAACACCAACUGAUAUACCUUAACAACAAAAAAAGAAAACAAUAACACGCAAAACUUUUAUUUAUUGUCUCUUCAUAUAACGAUGCAUGCGGUCUUUUUUCCUACGAUUUUCCAACUUCAACUUCAACUUCUUUGUGUAUAAUUCCGACUGCUUGUGGUCUAACUUUUAUGGUACCUACUUAAACUUAAACAGUAUUAUUAUUAUUAUUAUUAUAAAUGUUCCAAAUUGGUGUGCACUAGAUUUUAAUGUGCAAGGUGAUGGGUAAUGUUACAAAAUUGUUCUGUGUUCCGAAAUUUCCGACUACAAAACUAAUUUUAUUCGUAACUCAAAUCUAAUCAUAUCCAUUGAAGGUGCUGUAGAAGGGCUGUUCUUUAGUUUCUCGAAAUUAUUAAAAAAAAAAAUAGAAAAACUCGCUUUAACUUUAAUCUGUAAACACAACGUACAAAAUGAAUUAACGUACAAUGUAUAUAAAGAACAUUAGCUAUUUUCAUUGUAACCGAUAUUAUUUUUUAUAAAAGUGAAAUUUUUUUUUUCAAGUAAAAGAAAAGGUUAAAGAUCUUAAAUCUUUAUUAUAAUUUUAAGUUAUACAUACAAAAACCUUACAUCACAACUACAAUAAUAUAGGCUACUUACUACAGAAUAUAAAACAUCAACAUUCAAAAAUCUCGUUCAUGUCCUAAAGUAGAUAUAACAUAAAACACAACCUGAUAACAUCCUCAAACCCGUUUUAUCUAUUUUCUCGUACUCAACCUUUACUAGCUUAUCCCCAUUUUUUUGUCUCUCCUCUUUUACCAUUAUUUCCAACAUCUUUUGUAUUAUUCUCUCUUCCAUCGUCAAAUCAUCUCUUACAUACACCUCCGUCUCCUUCGUCCUUUUACCGUCUUGUCUUCAAAUUUCUCCAUUUCUGCCUCCGUUCCCUUUUAACUUUCCAUACUUCUUUCACUUCCAUCUUCAAUCCCAUCUUCCCCUUCAUCACUAUUUAUAAUUCCCUCUUUUCUUUGUUCUCUUCCAACUUAACUCCAAAGAUUAUCAUGUUUAGCUUUCUUUCUUCCAUUCUUUUCUUUUCCAUUUCCUUUCUGCGUAUUAUUUUCUUCUGUUCCUUCACUUGCUUCUCUACGCCUUUUUCAAUCUCUAUCUCCUCAGUACCAUUUCCUUCACUUCUUCUUUUAAACUACUUUCUUCAUUAUAUUUGUCCAAUCCUUCUUCCAUCUCCUAUAAUUUUCCCUUGGUUUCCUUCUCCAUUUCUUUCAACUUUUCGUUUAUACUUUUAUCUUCUUCCAACUUUUAUUGCAAAUUCUCCCAUCUUAUUUCUUGUAAAUCUCUUCUUUUUGUGUUUCAUUAUUUUCUUUCCAAUUUUCUUAAUUGUUUUCCUUUAUCUCUUCCAACAACUCCAUUUCACUAUUAACUUUCUCUAAAUUUUUUCUUUUCAAUUCUUUCUUUUCUUCUUCUGGACUGCACGCUCUUGUUUCAUUUUCCUCCUCGCUUCUUCCUUUAUUCAUCUAAUUUUUUAUGCUAUCUUCUUCCUUACUCUAAAAAAAAUUGCAACUACAAAAGGUUCUGUUCAUUCGCAGGAAAAUUCUGAACAGUGAUACGUUUCAUUUUGUAUAACCCGUGUAAAUAUUUCAAUUUGAUACAUCACCAUUAAAAAAGUUUCACUUUUAUCUCGGAAUCAUGCUUAGGUAUCCUUUUGUAUUUAUUUCUGAGUUUGUUUAAAACAUGUAUAAUAUAAUAGAUUAACCCUGGAUUUACGACUUUUUGAGCUUAAAUUUCAUAUCAGUCAUAGUUAAGAAGAAAAGUAGUAGAUACAUAUAAAAGCUAUUUAUAUUUAAAAUAUCCUUCACGAAUUCCUUGAACAGCCCUUCGUCAAAGAUGAAAUUGUAAAUUGUAACUGCUAUUUUGUUGAUAUUGUCAUAAUACAUGUACAUUGUAACUGUAAAGAUUGUUAUUUGUAAAAGAAUGACCAAUUAAAUAAUAAAUAACCGGUGGUGUAAUGAAAAUAAAUUAAUGGGAUUAUAAAAAUGCAAAUUUUCUUCCUUCAAAAGUACUGACUAAGAAAAUCUUGAUGUUUUCAUUAUUACGGGUGUUUUCUAUUUCAUACAGGGUGUUUACGCAGCUAUAUUUACAUCAGAAUAUUAAUUACAACUACGUUAAUUAGUAUAUUAUUUUGUUUUAAUACAAAAAACGCAUAAAAGUUAAUGUUUCACCUAAGUUCUUCAAAGUCAAUAAGUUUAGUUUACUAUCGUGAUUAUCGGCGAUAACACCCUGUAUAUAAAGAAAAAUAAAAUGUUCAUUUUUCCACAACCUAUCAAAAUCUGAAAGUAAUUCUUUUAUGUCAGAUCUUAAAAUUCUCUCAUAUGCAACAAAUGCACCAUGGUAAGAUACAGGGUAUUUAUUAUGUACAAAUUUAAGUACAUUUUUAGAAGUCGGCUAUACAAAAUUAUGAAAAUUUUUUACUUCCUAGUAUUAAUAAUAAUUAUUUUUAAACCAAGAUUUUCUUAGUUAAUUAAUGAGUCCUUUAAUAAAUAACGAAACUGGAGCACAUACCAUAAUAUUCAUAAUAAUUAAUUUGCAUCAUUACAAAUAUAUACGAUAUAAAUACCACAUCUUUUACUAAAAGUUUAGUCAGUAUGUUAGAAUUGCGACUUGCAAUAUGUAUGUUUAUUUGUUGUAAAUAUGUACCUAUUAUUAAUAACAAUAAGUAUUAAAUUUUCUGUAAAAAGCAUCAUGAGUACUUAAUGAAGUAAGCAUAAGUUACAAAAAUAAUAUACGGACCAUAAAUAAAUUAAGGCAUGAUAUGUAUAGGAGGUAAAUAUACGUAUUUACAUUUGAAUAGGCUUAAGUUUACCUUUGUUACAGAGCUGGUGCUCUUUUUAUUGGUCAAAAAUAAAAUCGUGCAAAGAAA